rnacentral:rRNA from 1 species
UAUCUUUUUGGAGGGCGUUAAAGCUUUUUCUUUAUUAGGUAUUGUAGAAGAUUUUAGGUAUUGGUCCAAGAUUGCAGAGGAGUAUCAAGGAUUUUCAUUGUUUGUAAGUUUUGAUGCUAAAAUUAGUAAAGAAGACGUUAUAUUUUUUGAGGAUUAAGCAGGCUUAAUUUUGGAUAGAAGAAAGUAAUUAGUACAGGAAUUAGCUUUUAUUAGGUUGUCUUCCAACUCAGGAAGUAGUAGUGUUGCAGAAUUAAGAAAAAGGAACUCGGCAAAUUUAAACUUNNNNNNNNNNNNNNNNNNNNCGCUCUUCGCUAAAGGUUCUAGUGUAUGAGGAGUCCUGCCUGCCCAGUGACUUUUUUAGUUAAACGGCCGCGGUAUUUUGACCGUGCAAAGGUAGCAUAAUCAUUUGCCUCUUAAAUAGAGGCUGGUAUGAAUGGCAAGACGGAGGUUUGACUGUCUCUUUCUUAAGGAGGUUGAAUUUAAUGUCUUUGUGAAGAAGCAAAGAUGAGAUCGUAGGACGAGAAGACCCUGUCGAGCUGAAAUAGUAAAAAUUAAGUGUUGUUAAGUAUUCUUAUGCUAAUUUAUUUUCGGUAGAGAUUAUAGAAUUUACGUAAGAUAUGAGUAUACUGUAGUAUUUCUUGUUUUGGUUGGGGCAAUCGCGGAGUAAAUGUAACCUCCGUUGUAAAUAUUGAUAUUUUAAAGUAACUUCUUUUUGUAGUAUGAAAUGUAUAUUUAUGAUCCACUGGGAAAGUGAGUAAAGGAAUAAGUUACCGCAGGGAUAACAGCGUAAUUUUCUUGGAGAGUUCAUAUUGAUAAGAAAGUUUGCGACCUCGAUGUUGGAUCGGGAUAUCCAGGAGAUGCAGUAGUUUCCAAGGGUUGGUCUGUUCGACCAUUAAAAUCCU